AGGACGAACGCUGGCGGCGUGCUUAACACAUGCAAGUCGAGGGCACUUGGGUAGCAAUACGUAAGUGACCGGCGAACGGGUGCGUAACACGUGAGCGACCUUGCCUCGUGGUGGGGGAUAGCCGGCCCAACGGCCGGGUAAUACCGCAUAUGGUAGUUCUUUCGCAUGGGAGAACUAGCAAAGCUGAGUAGCAAUACUUGGCGCCACAGGGGGGGCUCGCGGCCUAUCAGCUAGUUGGGGGGGUAAUGGCCCACCAAGGCGACGACGGGUAGCUGGU
rnacentral:rRNA from 1 species